UACGUAGGGGGCAAGCGUUGUCCGGAUUUAUUGGGCGUAAAGAGCGUGUAGGCGGCUUUACAGGUCCGUUGUGAAAACUCGAGGCUCAACCUCGAGACGCCGGUGGAAACCGUAAGGCUAGAGUCCGGAAGAGGAGAGUGGAAUUCCUGGUGUAGCGGUGAAAUGCGCAGAUAUCAGGAGGAACACCCGUGGCGAAAGCGGCUCUCUGGGACGGUACUGACACUGAGGAGCGAAAGCGUGGGGAGCGAACAGG
rnacentral:rRNA from 1 species